rnacentral:tRNA from 1 species
AGCCCCGUGGUGGAGUGCCACGUUGGAUUGCAAAUCCAGAGACGCAGAGUAAGAGCCUGCCGGGGCUU